GAGACAGACAUCACCUCCUGCGAUCUACUCCCCCAGUUAAAGGAGAGAGAGAGAAAGAGAGGACAGGAGGGAAAAACGGAAGUCGCUGGGAUAUUCGUUUUUUUCUUUCGUUUUGUUUUUUUCUUUUUCCUCAUUGUGGUGCUGGGAGGCUCGUCUUCUUUUCACCUGUUUGCGCUCUCCAUCAUUUGCCUCCUGAUUUAUUUCUCCAUCUACAUGGUGUACAAUUUUGUCUACCUAUGACACACACUGGAUCAGGGAAAGAAGGGGAGAGGGGCUUUUUUCCGUUCUUUCCUUUCAUUCGCUUUCCAGUGGCCCUUGGUUCUGACUUUGAUCCGACUUCACUCCUCCAUCAGUCCCUCCUUCCCAUCUCCGGUCGGACCAUCCCUCUCUCCAUCCAUCCUGCCCCCCUCCAACAAAAAAACUCUGGCAUUCACUGAAUGAAAGUUGGACAGAAUUCUUAAAAAAGUCUACAGUCUACCACAUUCCUCUUCUUUUAGUUGUAUCAUCCUUUCUUUCCCCCCUCUUUUCCUUUUUUCCUUCCCUUGGUCCUCCAAUACCUGUCCUUUCACAUCACUCCUUUUUUUCCGGAUGCUUUAAAGUUCCUCUAGUGAUGCAAUAAGGAGGCAGUGGAGGAUGCAGGUGGGGAUCUUCAAAAAGAACUGAACGACAGCUUGAGACCUACAUCAGUGAAGAUCUAAAGAUAUUUCUUCUUCAAAAAUAGUAUCUUUUUGAGAUACCAAGAAAGAAGCCAAAAGGACAAAACUCACUGUCAGCUGCUUGCAAACUUUCAUUUUUCGGCUCACUAGUGUUGACUCAUAUCAGUUGUUGUUUUUUUUUGUAAGAAGACGAUGCCAC
ensembl:lncRNA